CCCCUACCAUAUACCCAAGGAUGAUGGUAUCAAUAUCCACAGCAUGUGAUUCAAACCCUCAAUGACUGCAAUGCACAAUGCAAGGAGAGAUUCGGAGGCUGGAAUAGGGGCUGCUGCUUCCACAGGAGAACAGCUCUUGAGGCUUCAAAGUGAGAAAUCUGAGGUAACGAUCAGAAGCCAAGCAUCUUUCUUGACUGGGAACAGGUUGGAACCUAUAAAUUAUUAAGAGGUACACCAUGGAACAGAACUGGUGGUAAAUGCCAGACUCCUAGCAAGCACUGGACCUGCUGUGCCUGCCCCAACCCAGCUAAGCCUGUGUCUGCACUGGCACUUCAGUUGCUCUCAGUUGGCAUCUGACAGUACCUCUGCCACCAGCAGAUAACCAAACAGGUGAAGAAUUAAGAAUGAAAGAAGUUUGUACACUUUGGACAUGUCUUAGAAUGUUUAUUUCAGAUCCUUGAGCCCAUUUUGGACUGUGAGAAACUUCAGCACUGGUCUCUGUGACAUCUGCUUGUGUCAAUGAUGGGAAACAUGUGGAAUAUGAAAAAAACCAACAACAACAAAA